CCUACGGGAGGCAGCAGUGAGGGAUAUUGGUCAAUGGGCGCAAGCCUGAACCAGCCAAGUCGCGUGAGGGAUGACGGUCCUCUGGAUUGUAAACCUCUUUUGUCGGGGAGCAAGGCACGCCACGUGUGGCGGGAAGGAGGGUACCCGAAGAACAAGCAUCGGCUAACUUCGUGCCAGCAGCCGCGGUAAUACGGGGGAUGCGAGCGUUAUCCGGCUUUAUUGGGGUUAAAGGGUGCGUAGGAGGAAGGUUAAGUCAGCGGUAAAACGUCGGUGCUCAACACCGGCCUGCCGUUGAAACUGGUCUUCUUGAGUGAGCGAGAGGUAUGCGGAAUGCGUGGUGUAGCGGUGAAAUGCGUAGAUAUCACGCAGAACUCCGAUUGCGAAGGCAGCAUACCGGCGCUCAACUGACGCUGAGGCACGAAAGCGUGGGGAUCGAACAGGAUUAGAUACCCGGGUAGUC
rnacentral:rRNA from 1 species